CUCACUGGAGCUCCCUGUCUACCUGGACUGUUUUGAAGACAUCAGAAAUGCUUGCGAAGAAGAGGAUACUGUAACAUCAUUGCUCAGUACAUACACAUUUGAGGAAUAUAUCACUUCAUUCUCUGUGCUCAGCGGAAAAGUCUGCUGCUUUACCAGAUGUGACGAAUAACUAAACACAGGGACUGAAGUGCUCUGCUUCCACAGAGGAUGGUGCAGAUUCUUCUGAGCAGGAGGAUCUGUGGCCUGGGAGGUGACCUGGUGAUGAUGGACACUGUGACAGCCAGUGGCAGUGAGAACAUCAGUGAACAAAGGUCUCCUGGUGGCUGCUCCAUCUCAUUCCUGGUUGACAACAGACCCAUUUACUGAAGGUGAUGAUUACUGUGAUUUACCAGCAGAAGCUCAAUCAAAUCUCUGGAUGUGGAGUUUUCUUCCAGACUGGAAAACGUAACAGUACUGCUGUUAUUUUAUGAUGGUU